rnacentral:rRNA from 1 species
UGGGGAAUAUUGCGCAAUGGGGGGGACCCUGACGCAGCCAUGCCGCGUGAAUGAAGAAGGCCUUAGGGUUGUAAAGUUCUUUCGGUAUUGAGGAAGGUUGAUGUGUUAAUAGCACAUCAAAUUGACGUUAAAUACAGAAGAAGCACCGGCUAACUCCGUGCCAGCAGCCGCGGUAAUACGGAGGGUGCGAGCGUUAAUCGGAAUAACUGGGCGUAAAGGGCACGCAGGCGGUUAUUUAAGUGAGGUGUGAAAGCCCCGGGCUUAACCUGGGAAUUGCAUUUCAGACUGGGUAACUAGAGUACUUUAGGGAGGGGUAGAAUUCCACGUGUAGCGGUGAAAUGCGUAGAGAUGUGGAGGAAUACCGAAGGCGAAGGCAGCCCCUUGGGAAUGUACUGACGCUCAUGUGCGAAAGCGUGGGGAGCAAACAGGAUUAGAUACCCUGGUAGUCCACGCUGUAAACGCUGUCGAUUUGGGGGUUGGGGUUUAACUCUGGCGCCCGUAGCUAACGUGAUAAAUCGACCGCCUGGGGAGUACGGCCGCAAGGUUA